CAAAAGCGCAUGGAGUUAGCAAAACAAAACAGAUAUUAUACUAAUUUUACGAAUACUUUAUUUAAAAUUUGGAAAAUAAUUUAAGAAAAAAAGGUGGCGCCUUUGUAUUUAUGUCCAUGAACAGUGAGUGCGCAGUGCUGUGAUCUGAUGCAAACAAGAAGCCAAAAAAUACGAGUGAGAAAAAAUUCGGAAAUUUAUUGGUUGGCGUUGGCGCGUUAGGCACAGCGUAUAAAGGAUAGCCACACACCACUACAGCCAUUUGGGUUUUCUUUUCGCUUUUCUUUAUCUUGCUUUGAAUCCAAAAAGCAAACCAAAAUUCUGUUCUUCAUUCUUUCCAACUGGGAGAGAAUUUCUACCUCUAAUUCCAAGUUUUCUCUGGGUUAUCAAAGACGAAAGCCAGGGAAUGCUGAAAGAUGUGCUUCAAGGUUGAGAAUUCGCCAUCUCUUAUCGAUGAGGUUGUAGCUUUGUUUGAGCUGCCCUUGCUUAUCAAUGAUGAGACU